CAUUCUUCAACCUAACAAAAAAAACCACAGCAACAAAAAAGAAAACCAUACAAACAAAUCCUAAAAGACUCUCUUUACAACGUAAAGAGCAAAAACCCCAACAGCAAAACGUGUAGUAAUAAGGCAAAAACACGGUAGGGAAGGAAGGUUGUUAAUAUAUACAUAUAAAAGUUAUAACGGAAGAAAGGUCGAACGAUUCAAAAAAACCCAACGAUGGCUAUGAUGUUACGGUCGCUCGCUAGGCCGCUUGAACGUUGCCUUGGGUUAAGGGCCGGUGGGGAUGGUCUCAUGUGGCACACUGAUCUUAAACCUCAUGCUUCGGGCGAGUACUCAAUCGCCGUCGUUCAAGCCAAUAAAAACCUUGAAGAUCAAGGCCAAGUCUUUACAUCUCCUUUAGGUACCUAUGUUGGUGUUUAUGAUGGUCAUGGCGGACCCGAAGCUUCCAGAUUUGUAAACAAGCAUCUUUUCCCAUUUCUCCACAGUAAUUGUUCUUUGACCCUUUUAAUCUUUUUCUUAAUUAUUUUUCUGGGUUUUUUUUUAGAUUAUCUGAAAUGGGGUUUUCUUUGCGUCUAAUUUUUCAAGAUUCAAAUAUUCUUUUGUGUUUUAAUGGUCAAAGAGAAUUUUGGGUUUUUGUCAGUUAAUGAUAUUUUGAACAACUUACAAAGUGUCUAUCAUGCACGUUUAUUUAGUUAUUAUUUGUGUAUCUGAAUGAAUAUGAAUUACUUUGUCUAAAUAUAAAUCUUUAUGCGUUUGAAAUUGGAAUUUGGUUCUCAAGAUUCUAAAACCAUUCAGUUUAAUUUCAAUUUUUGGCACCUUUCACCUCCUUGCUUUAUUGGGUUUUGUCAGUGAAUGGUUGUGUUCUUGUUUUAAUUUUUCUGUCUUAAUUGUAGAAUUUGCUACAGAGCAAGGGGGAUUAUCUGCAGACGUGAUAAAGAAGGCGUUCAAUGCUACUGAAGAAGAGUUUUUACAUUUGGUGAAGCAAUCAUUGCCCGUAAGGCCUCAAAUUGCUUCAGUUGGAUCAUGUUGCCUUGUUGGUGCGAUAUCCAACGAUGUGUUGUAUGUGGCGAAUCUCGGCGACUCGAGAGCAGUUCUUGGCAAAAGAGUUUCGGAGGAUAAGAAAAACAAGGUUGUGGCAGAGAGGCUAUCAACAGAUCACAAUGUUGGAGUUGAGGAAGUGAGGAAAGAGGUUGAGGCUCUUCAUCCUGAUGAUUCGCAUGUCGUGGUUUACACUCGCGGAGUUUGGAGGAUUAAGGGCAUAAUCCAGGUACUUAACAAAAUCUAUUGGCAAACCCAAUUAUAAGAGUUUUAAGUUGAAUCAGACAGGUUGAAGAACAGUUCAUGUUUUGGUUCAAUGAAUUCGAUGGAUAUACAUGUUUCUUUCCAUCAAUUGCUUGUAUGUUUGUAGAAAAGGUAUAUUUACAAAACAAAUAAACAUUGUGCAUCCUCUGAAUCAUAAUGCUAAGCUUAUGUGACUAUAUGGAGUCUUCUCUCUUUUCUUUUUCGGGUUUUUUGGGUUCCUUUUGUUGAUUUCUUUCCCCUUUAACUUCAGCAGUUAAAUGGUUCUCUGUAAUGGAUAAUGUUGGUCUAAGCAUUGAACUUGUUUCUUUAUUCAGGUGUCAAGAUCUAUCGGUGAUGUUUACUUGAAGAAACCCGAUUUUUAUAGAGAUCCAAUCUUUCAACGAUUCGGAAACCCUGUUCCCCUUAAAAGACCAGUUAUCACGGCAGAACCCUCCAUCCUUAUUAGAAAGCUUAAGCCCCAAGACUUAUUUCUGAUAUUUGCAUCAGAUGGCCUAUGGGAACAGUUGAGCGAUGAAACCGCGGUAGACAUUGUUUUCAGAAACCCCCGAGCUGUGAGUAUUUACCUUUGUCUUAUUGGUUAAUUUAGUCUUCAUUAGCAGCUGGACCGAAUGACAGAGUAUUGAUUUUAAGUUUGCUUGUAUUACUUGCAGGGUAUUGCUAAGAGACUGGUAAGUGCCGCACUUAGAGAAGUUGCAAAGAAAAGAGAGAUGAGAUACGGCGAUAUUAAGAAAAUCGAGAAGGGAAUAAGACGGCAUUUCCAUGACGAUAUAACCGUGAUCGUCAUUUACCUAGAUCAACACCGAGGCUCUUCACAUAACAUAGUUAAACAUAAUGCCAUGGGGUGCACGACGGCGCCAGUCGACAUCUAUUCAUACAAUGCAGAUGAAGGAUAUGAAGGAGAUUUACUUCAAACAGUUUCUUGAAUACACAACAGAAUGAGUUAAUAUUAGGUUUAGCACACUGACUUUUUAUUCUUUUUCAAGUCUUAUUCAUGUAUAGAGAAACCAAAUGAUGGGGUGGGAUUGGUUCUUAAACCAAUGUUUCAUUGGGAGAAAAAUCGAGAGUUUGGAAGGUAAUUUUAGUCACCUCAGACGGAUUCCGACACAGGCGGCUAUAGGUGUUCCGGUUGAAGUUCUAACGGUUACCGAAAAGGCUACAUUGUUUUAUUGGUUUAUUAAAUUCAUUGCUUAUAUUAUAUUUAAUUCGAAGUGAGUAACUAAAGACAAUUAAUUACGUUAUUAAUUUUUCUUGUCAAUUAUACAUAAUUUUGAUUGGUGUAAUAACAAAUUUAACCCUUAAUAUUUAUAUAUUUUGUGCAAAUGUUGACAGAAUAUGUAAAUGUUGUAGGUUAAUUUCGUUAAAUCGUGAUUAAAUUGACAGAACAUGUAAGUGUUAUGGGUUAAAUUUGUUAAAUCAAUGUUAAAUUGACAAGAAGUAUAAACUUUAAGGGCGAAUUUUGUUACUAUACCGAUAGAAAAAGUAUAAUUGAUGAAAAAAUAUUGAUGUUAUGAUUAAUGGUCAUUAGUUGCUCACUUUUAAAAUCGACAAGAUUAAAUUGUUAUAGUUUUUUUGAGAGGGACCAAUUUGUUCAAAAUGAAAAUUGAGAAGAAUCAAAAUGUCAUUGUACCUGGUUCUUAUACAUACCAUAUCUAAGUUGUGAAUUUAGUUUUUGUACAUUAAUUUACUCAAUUUCAGUCUCUUUACUUUUUAAAUUUAAAAUUUUAGUUAUGAUUUAGAUUGUAAAUUAAAUUCGUUUCAUUCUAUUAUGUUAUUAGUCUUAUACUAUUAUUACAGUUGUGAAUUUAAUUCAUGUUUUUUAAUUUUAUCAUUUUUAGUCGUUAUACUUUUCAAAUUUUAAUGCAAACGAAAAUAGUUAAAUCCAUUAAACGUAGGUUUUCUAUGUGUGCAAUAUAUGAAAAUAGCAAAUUGCAACUAUUAUUUGAUCGAGACUAAAAUUGAAUAAUACAAAAAAUACAAAAAUUAAAAUUAAAUAAAUUAAAAGAUAGAUAUUAAACUCACAAUUUAUUCAUAUACAUAAACUAAUAACAUAAUUCUUAAUACUCUUAAAUUAAAAACAACACUUAAUAAACUACGAGAGUUAGGUGAGAUGACAAAUAUCUCUCCUAUAUUAACCAGUGGUUGAAAGUUUGAUCCUCGCAUUGGGUAUAGAAUAACUUUAAAAACUCGUAGUCGGCAUCUAUUAUUUUAAUAGACCUAAAAAUGCGGAGAAUUAAUUACUGAACUCGCUCUAAGCAUGACAUAACACGACAAAGUUGGCUUGUAAUUUGUAUAUCUAAACCAAAAGGGAAAAAAUGUUUUGCGAGACAAAUUCCUUAAACUGAAAGACAUGGGAAUUUUGGCAACUAGAUAGCAAUAACCAAACUUGUUAGGUGAAACGAACCAAACUAAAGCACAAAACGACAAUCAGUUGCGCUAAAGUUAGGAUGUCUUGUCACUUUUAAAUUUUUAUUAUACAACUUGCUUCACUAAACAAAUACUAUUUAAUGAACUUUUUAAUAUUCUUACUCUACUUUUCAAUAAUUCAUAAAGCUAAUAAAUAUAUUAUAUUCUUUCAAAUUACUUUUCUUUAAAUUAUUUUUUCUUUAUUUUAAUUGAAAAUUUUUAUUGUAUUAAUUGCAUAAAAAUACUCAAAAUUUUAAUUUAUUCUUUAAUUUCGAAAUAUGUUUAAACGUUAAAACGUUAAUUUUGAUAUGAUGUAAAGUACAUUUAAAAUGCCCGAAUUAAAUUGUAAAUUUAUGUAUACUUACAUCAUUAAUAACUUGGAUCUUACGUAUUAAAAAAAUAGUGUUAAUAAAUUUUAGGAGGGUUAACACUUUUAACUGUUAGAACGAUUUUUUUAAGUAGAAAUCAUGUUGGUACUCUAACUAGAAUGGUUAUACUUUAGUUACUUGGGUUAACUGUUAAUAUUAUAAAAAGUAGAAGAUUAAAUUACAUUAAAUAAAAUUAUGGAGAUUAAAUUUUAAAUUUGAGCACAAUAAAGGGACCAAAACUAUAAUUUAACUCUUUUUAAAUUCAAUAUUUUGUUGAAGGAUUAAAUUGGGGUUGAACUUGAAACCUACUUCUAUAUUGGGGCUUGAACUUUUUUUUUGUCUAAGUUGCUCCCUAAACUUAGCAAUUUUUCUCAUAUUGAAGUUUGAACUAGGCCAUUGUUCUAAGGGGCGAAGCCAAAAUUUUUUUUUUUGGGAGUUGGAAUUAAAUUGUAUAUUUUUAUGGUAGUAAGAAUGUAAUUUUACCAUUUUAAUAGCCUAUGUCAUUAUAAUUUUAAAGGAUUAAAUCAAUUUUGUAUUAUUUAAGAGGUUAAAGUUCAAAUUUAUCAUUACUAAUUUAAAAUUUUAUAAAUUAUAAAAAGUUUAAAUAGAAAAUUUUUCAUUUUAGGGGGAACUGGGGGCCUUGCCAACCUCUCUGGCUUUGCCAUUGAUUGUUUCCAUAUUGGAGCUAAACUUGACAAUUGUUCCUACAUUGAUGCCUAAGUUUUAGGGUUUUCAAAGAAACAUCAUGGAUUAAUUUGGAUCAAAAAAGGUUCAAGCCCCAAUAUAAAAACAAUUACCACAAAAAAAUUCAGGUCUCAAUAUGAAAAUAAUUACCAAUUUCAGGCCCAAAAAGGUGAUUUAACCCUUUGCCCAACCCCAUUCAAGUUACCAAACGAGAGGAAAAUAACAAAUUCCUAGAAAAUCUACAAUUUUGUGCGCUAAAAAAGAAAAUACAAAUAGUCGUUUCAGUAUAAUUUUCUCGGAAAAUAACCAAAACCCAGUCCUUUAAGCUUCAACAUCCAAAGAAAAAAGAAUGACUGCAAGUCAUUUGGUUGCUGAAUCCGUGUGGAAAACAAUAGAGUCAACUCAUUCAGGUCUUUCUUUUUUUCCCCCCUUAUUUAUUCUUUCUAUGUAGAAACUAAAUUCCAUCUUCUUCUUUUUUCCUUUUUUAAAUCCCUAAAUUUUGUGAUCUUAUGACCCAAAUUGGCCAGUAAAUGAAGAGCAACUAUCAAUGUAAGCAAUACUCAUUUUCUUUUAAAUCUUUUAUUCUUGGGCUUUUUAAAAUAAAAAUAAAAAUAAAAAUGGUGGGUAUUGAUUAAUUUUGAAUUUUCUUUUAUUGUAGCUUGCAUUUUCUGUUUGGUAAAAACUUCGAGAGAGCAACAAGGAUAGUUGACCAAAGGGGUGUCAAGAAAAUCUCCGGUGAACCCAGCGGUCGUUUUAUCUUUCAGGUUCAUUCUCUUUGUUGCUAUCUCAAUUUUUGAAUAUUGGUCGAAUUCUCCUAUUAGUCCAUGCACUCUGCAUAAAUUGCAGAUUUAAUCCAUGUUCCUCGAUUUAAUGUUUUUAAUGAUUUGUUUUUCAAAUUGUAAUUUUAGUAUCAUGUUAUAUCUAUUUAAUUUAAUUAUUUUAUUUCAGUUAAUAAAUUUCACUGCUAUUGGAUAUAAGAAUAAAAAUGAUAAAAUUUUAGAACAAAUAUUAAAUCUAUAAGGUUAGGACAGAAAAAUCCAAAUAUUAUAAAAUUAAAAUUGACCAAAUUAAAAUAUGUAGACUAAAUCUGUAAUUUAGACUUAGUAUAUAUACUAAGGGAAGAAUUUGUCAUAGAAUAUUUGGACGAGUUGUCGGCUACCUUAUGUGUAAAAUAUGGUCAUUUUGGCAAAUAUUCCAUUUUAAGAACUUUCCUGGAAACUUUUCUGAAACUGUGAGCCUUGAGAUAAAACCCGAAGCAGAAUUGAGACACAUCAGUAUAUAUCCAUUUGUAUAUCUCAAUAUAUAUAUAUAACAUACGCCUGUCUAGUUAGAAUAUUUGGACAAGUUGUCGGCCACCUUAUCUGUAAAAUGUGAUCAUUUUGGCAAAUAUUCCAUAUUUAAGAACUUUCCUGGAAAAUUUCUGAAACUAUGACCCAUCAAGGCUCUUGGCAGAAUCGUGAGAUAAAACCUGAAGCAGAAUUGAGACACAUCAAUAUAUAUAUCCAUUUGUAUAUCUCAAUAUAUAUAUACAGACGCAUGUGUAGUUAGAAUAUUUGGACAAGUUGUCCUCUACCUUUUCUGUAAAAUGUGAUCAUUUUAGCAAAUAUUCCAUCUUAAGAACUUUCCUGGAAAUUUUUCUUAACUAUGACCCAUCAAGGCUCUUAGCAGAAUGGUGAGAUAAAACCCGAAGCAGAAUUGCGACACUUCAAUAUGUAUCCAAUUGUAUAUCUCAAUAUAUAUAUAUACAUAGGCAUGUCUAGUUAGACUAUUUGGACAAGUUGUCAUCUACCUUAUCUGUAAAAUGUGAUUAUUUUAGCAAAUAUUCCAUCUUAAGAACUUUCCUGGAAAAUUUUCUGAAACUAUGACCCAUCAAGACUCUUAGCAGAGUCGUGAGAUAGAACCCGAAGCAGAGUUGAGACACAUCAAUAUAUAUAUCCAUUUGUUAUAUAUAUACAUACGCAUGUCUAGUUAGAAUAUUUGGUCAAGUUGUCAUCUACCUUAUCUGUAAAAUGUGAUCAUUUUAGCAAAUAUUCCAUCUUAAGAACUUUGCUGGAAAAUUUUCUGAAACUAUGACCCAUCAAGGCUCUUAGCAGAGUCGUGAGAUAAAACCCAAAGCAGAAUUGAGCCACAUCAAUAUAUAUAUAUCCAUUUGUAUAUCUCAAUAUAUAUAUACAUACGCGUGUCUAGUUAGAAUUUUGGACAAGUUGUCAUCAACCUUAUCUGUAAAAUGUGAUCAUUUUAGCAAAUAUUCCAUCUUAAGAACUUUCCUGGAAAUUUUUCUGAAACUUUUUUUUCCCAUUGUUUGGUGCUUUAGGUUGUGGGAGAAUCUAGAAGAAAAGAAGAAUAUUUCUGUUUUGCUGAACAUUAUUGUGCUUGUUAUUCAUUCUUUUAUGAUGUAAUUAACAGAGCAGAACAGCUUUGUGUAAGAUUUCUUUAUUCCUUUAUUCCCCUUAUUUUAUUGCAUUUAAUAUAUAGGUAAAAUUUUUGAAAUUGAGCAAAUUGGUCCCUCUAAAAAAUUAUAGCAAUUUAUCUUUGUCAAUUCCAAAAGUGAGCAACUAAAAAUAAUUAAUCAAGACGUUGAUAUCAUUUGUCAAUUGUACAUAGUUUUGAUUGGUAUAAUAACAAAUUUAGCCUUGUUAUUUACAUGUUUAUACAAAUAUUGAGUUGCAUUUAUUAAAUCAGGACAAAAUUGAAAGAAUAUGUAACUUUGAGAGCUAAAUUAUUUAUUAUACCAAUCAAAUUUAUGUACAAUUGAUGAUCAAAAUAUUAAUGUUGUGAUUAAUUAUUCUUAGUUGCUCACUUUUGAAUUAAAACGGAUUAAAUUACUUCAAAUUUUUUAGAGGAUUCAAUAUGCUCAAUUUACUUAAAUUUUUUUAGAGGAUUCAAUAUGUUCAAUUUUAAAAUUAAAAGGGAUUAAAUUACUUUAAUUUUUUUAGAAGAUUCAAUAUGCUCAAUUUCAAAAUUGAGAGGGACUCACCUAUAUAUAUUUGCUGUAUUUUCAUAUUUUGUUUUGCUUUUGUGUAGUGUAAGCAUCAAUUAGCUGCAAGGCUUGCUGGAUCAUUGGGAGCUUGUAUUGAAGUUAAAGUGUCUGAUGAACAGCUAGCUGUAUUACUUUCUGAGCUCUAAAUUUUUGUAGUAAAAUCGUAGCGGGUCGGAUCCGAAAUUUAAUCUAGUUGGUUCAUGCAGUUACAUUUAAAGAAAUGACAUUCAAUAAAUAUGAUUCAAUUUUUGAUAAAUAAAAAUAUUGUUUGUAUGUUUAACAACAAAAAGAAUGAACAAAUUAUAAUCAUCAAAUCAAGGAACAAUAUUGUGAGUUUUCAUCUUUUUAAUCCAUGAAUUGAACGACGUUUUCGAGUUUCGGAACCCGACAAAUCCAUGUUCUUUGCUCUUGUUCAUGCUAUCCAACAGUGACUUCCCCGAAAGCACCGAAUCAACGAACUGCCAUGCUCCGGCAUUGCUCAAUUUCAUCGGCAAAAGACCGUUCUCCCUCACGAUGUUGUCCCACACCGGACCUUUGUCUUUCAUCAUUUCAACCAAGCUUGGCACCUUCUCUUCGGUUUCUUGAAAUCCGUAGUGUUCGAUACCGAACUGGUCAGCUAACACUUUCCAUAAGUCCUUCCACUUAAACACAUCUCCAUUGCUACAAUUAAAGGCUUCGUUUUUCGCUCGCCGGCUCAUUGCUGCCCAUAUUUGAUGUUCUGCAAUCAAAUCCGCAUCCGAUGCAUCCCAGUACCCUUCCCACGCUUGUCGGUUCCCCGGAAACCUCAACGGCUCGCUUUCAUGCUUACAUAUCGACGCGUAAAUGCAUAAACUCCGAACUAUAUUCAUCGAACUAAACGGAGAAAACCCAAAAACCAAUCCCGGCCUAUGAACAGACCAUGUCAAGUUCUCCUUCUGCUUCACUUCUUCCAACAAAACAUCCUCGAGCGUAUAACACAAGUUUGACGACUUAAGCCUCGGAAGAUCCUCGCGAAAAGGAGGAUCAUGGGGCUGAACAUGAUAUUUUCCGUACAAAUCAAUCGGACCGGUGUAAUGCCGACGACCGGUUUGCAAGCAUAUAUGUUUCAACUUGGGUGAAUUCGGGAUUACCGCUUUCAACACGUUCCGUAACAUAGUACCAUUGAUAACGCAGUUUUCAUCUUCAGUUGAUCUCUUAUCCCAUGCAACAUAAAACACAUGAGUCACAUCGUUAAGCUUUGAUAAUUUAUCACAUGUUUCUUCUUCAUCUAAAACAUCGCAUUGUAUGUACUCAAUAGGCAAAUGACUAGUCGAGGCUGGUCGAGGCUGACGAGCAACACCGUAGACCUUCCACGGUCCGCCGGGAAUACCGGAGAACGGAAGAAUCUCGGCGAGACUGUUACCGACUAUGCCGGUGAUGCCAAUGACCAAAGCAACACUCUUGUACUUGGAUUGUUUAUCAUGUUCUUCCAUUUUCUUCUGUAAAAAAAAAAAAAAUCUGGGUUCAUUAGAUUAAAUGCAGAGAAAGAGAACCCAAAAAAAUGAAUGAGCAUUAACGUACCUUGGCAGCACCAAUGGCUCCUGCCCACCACCAACUCAUUGUAUGUUUUUCUUUUGCUGUUAAUGAAAAAAAAUGCUGAAUUACAUCCUUAAACUUUGUCUGCAAUGUUUUUAUAGUGAUCCGCUUUGAUAAAAGUGACGUCUGGGAAUUUAAAAAAGGAAAAAAAAACCAAUCUUAUCUAUUUACAUGUAUCAACUACAGCUCAACAAGAACUUGUUAUCAAUUUGAUUUCUUUAUAAUAAUAAUAAUAAUAAUAAUUUUAGUUGGGAUAAAUUACAAGAAUAGUCACUCUUGUUUGUCUUAGAUUAUAUUUUAGUCAAUUAUGUUAUCGUUUUGUUACGAAGUGGUCACUCUACCGCUAAACUCCGUUACCUCCCUAGCGGUAGUUCUACGUGACAGUUAAAAUUAAAUUUAUUUAAUUAAAAACAUAUUUUCAUCCCAGUAGCUGGACAUCCAAGUUGGCAUUUAAAACAUGUUUGGAUUGCUACGUAGGACAAUCGUUAGGGAGGUAACGGAGCUUAACGGUAGAGCGACCAUUUCAUAACAAAAUGAUAACAUAUGUGACUAAAAUAUAACAUUUUAAACAUAAAUGAUUAAAAUGUAAUAUGAUUCAAACAAAAGUAACUAUUUUUAUAGUUUACCAUUUUAUUUUUAAUUUGUUUGAAUAAACAUGGAUACAACACAUAUAUUUUAUAUAAAAUAAUUUAAGUGGCGGAAUUUUUUAAAAGAAAAUCAGAAAGGACGUGGAAAAUGGGUUAAUUGGUGAAUAUGUGUAAAUCCUUCAAUAAUUGAAUUGGUCAGCCAACACUUAAAGACUAAGGAUUAGACAGCUAGUAAACACAUCAGCAUAUAAUCAAGCUUGCGUGGAGAACCUAGCGUGUAAGGAAACAAUACAUCCUUAUCUAUUCACUAAAUCUUCUAAUGCUAUGAAAAAAAAGGAUAGAAUUUUGUGAAUUUUAUAAUUGGAAAGUUUAAGGAUAGGAAAUUAAUAUGAAAUUUGGCUUUUUUGUUUUUUUAAUUUGUAUUCCAAGUUAGUUUUUUACUAUUUAAGUCAAACAUUUCUAUUGGGUAUUGUUAAAUUAACAUGAGUAUUAUUGUUAAUAUAGAGGAAUGUGUGUUUGAGUGCGUUGAAGUGUUAGGUCUGUUCUUGACGUUUUUGGGCCUUAACAAAACAAUAAAAUGGGUUUCAAGUUCCUUAAAAGUUGAAGAAAAAAAAUUUGGUCCCUAAAAGUUGGUAAAAAAAAUUUGGCCUUUAAAAGUUAAAAAUAAGAAUUUUGGGCCCCUUAACAAUUGGAGAAUAAUAUUUUAGACCCCUUUCAGCCUUGGGCUCUGGGAAGCCGCACCUCUAGACGACCUCUAGAGCCAGGCCUGUGAAGCGCAUUAUCCUCUUAUUUAUGGGUUGGAGUAUAAUCAGAACCUAUAAUGAGAUUGUUAAAAAAAAUUUUAAAACAAAAAAGUUUUAAGAUGGAUUGUGAAUUUAAGGUUUUUUUUUAAUGGUUACAAGUUGCUUGGAAACAAAAUAUUAGUAAAUCAGAAUAGAAAAAUAAAUAAAUAAAUAAAUUGAAAACAAUUAGUCUCUCGAUAUGAUAAAUUAAUUUUGUUUAACAUUCGUUGUAACGACGGUUAGAAAGAAAACAAGCAGCGAAAAAAAUAAAAGAAGAAAAGAAUUGACACAACCGAUCUUUGUUAAUACAGUUUAGACACAGUGGUCCUAUAUUUGCGGAGCCUCUCCCAGUGAAUGAUUUUAUUCAACAAUCGUUCGGAUCACCUAUUGGCUUAAGCCCGAUUACCUUUACACAAAGAAAUAAUUCAAGCUUCAAUAUUGACCCCAAUUGUCACAAAUCACUCACCCAAAUACCUCACAAUAUGAUAGACUUUAAACUCCUAUUUAAAAGUUGAAAUUAUCCCAUUAAUUAUCUUUAGUACCCCAGGGUGAAUCAAACUCAGUAUAAACGAAACCUAUUUAAGGCCCAAGUCAAUAACUUAAGUAGAGAAACAGUUUCGUUAUAAUUGGACAUAAAACAAACAGCAAUUUUCCCAACAAAAACAUAAUGGGGAGAGCGAGACUUAUUCCUAAGUUGGCAAAUGCAAUUGCUCAGCUGUUUGUUUCAUGCAAAACUUAGUUGGCAAUUAACAAAUUCAAAUAGGCUCAACAUCUUUAACCUAUGGAUAGAAUUUCUAAUGCCAAUUUGAAUUCCUUCCUUCCAAGAAAUCCUUCAACAUUUUUAUCUCUUUGUGCAAGCAUUAUUGUAACAAGUCCAUCUUCUUAACUUUCACUAGAGAAUCUGUGGUGAUAUGGAGUUUACAGUAAACCCUAUUCGAAUGGGGAGUAACAAUCCUCUUUUGUCCGAUGAUUCUUUUGUUUUGGGUAAGAAUUCCAAAAUUCAUUUUACAAAGAGUAAACGAAAGUUGUGUUAUUGUUUAUGGGAAUACAUGAAAGUAAUCUAGAGUCGAGCAUUUUAUACCAUUUGUCUUAUAGAAUUUUGGGUUAACUUCGUUUGGUCGGUAAAUUUGACGAUAUAUGUCAUGUUAAUCUUUCUAAAAAAGUAAAUGGUGAAUUACAUUAAUGGUUAUCUAAUUAUGAUUUUUUUUUAUCACCCAACCAUAAAAAAUUACAAAAUAGUUAGUCAAUUAUUAGUAUUUUUUUUAUCAUCCAAUUAUAAAAAAGUGACAAAAUAAUCUUCAUUUUCAUGUUAACCGACUAAUAACUAAAAAAUUAAUUGAAUAAUUAGAUGAUCAUUUUGUAAAAUUUUCAUAGUUAGGUGAUAAAUGAAACUAUAAUCUGAGUGUCCUCUAUUAUAGUUUUGAGUAUAUAAAUAAUAAAAUUGCACAUCCUAUUUGAUAUUUUUGAGCAAAAGAAAAGAAAAGAAUAAUGAACUUGGAUACAUGGUAUUAGAGCGACUUAUGAUUGCAAUUGCACAUCCUAUAUGAUAUUUUUUUAGCAAAAAAAAAAAAGAGAAAAGAAUAAUAACCUUAAAUACAUGGUAUUAGAGCGACCUAUGAUUGCAAUUCCACAUUGACUUCCCAUAGGAUGGAUCAAUAGGUACUCCAAGUCAAACUCCUAAAGUGUGCAGUAGGAGAAAAUAACAACAAAACCCAUGACAAACGCAACACGAGUUUAGAUGGAGAAGAAUAUUAAGCGAAACACUAAAAAAAUUAGAUAACAUUAUUAAUCCCAUAUCAAAAAACAAAUAAGAAAACAAGUAGACUUGUACGCUCUAGGAAAGCAUAUGACUAAUAUCACUAGGGGGGUUUAGCUAGGUACAGCUGAUGGUCCCAAGUUGAAAGGGACUCUUGAGUAUCGCUGAUGUUUUGACCUUAGUCCUAUAUAAUAGGGGCAAAACACUAUCUAUCCGGCGCGUCCACACCCAAUGAGAUAGAUUUUUGGUCACCUAGACUGAAUGGUCUAUGGACGCCUCUAAUCCAGCUGACUUAUCCUAUUUUAUACACAAAAAUGUUGAAAUCUCUAAAUAAUGAAGAGUAAACUAAAAUCAAAUAGCUUCCAUUAACAAGACAUGGGGUUAGAGCUUAGGGUUUAGAAUUAAUAAAGAAUCAUGAUUGCAAGCCAAACCUGGAUCAUUCAUAUACAUUAGAUGACAAUGAUAUCUCUAUAAGUUUUAGCAUUAAAACUAGGUUUGAGGAAACAUCAAAACAGAAAAUCCAAUUUGCAGACAUAAAAUACUUCAUUAAUUACAUUAACAAAAAGCUUAUCAAACAUUCCUUUGGAAAACAAUUUUGCAAAGACACUGUUAACUGCACAUAAUGAUUUAUAUUUGACUUGUAUAAAAGCAAUUGUACAUACCUUUUCAAGAUUUUCAAUUCCCCUCUUUCUUGUUUCAUCUGCUAUAUAAUACAAAAUUCCCCAUCAGCUACAUGCAUAGCUAAAUAGAGCUUUAGGCAUUCAAAAAGCUAAAGAACACAUGUUGGCCUCGAGGAAACACACAGAACCGUGCACAACGUCACAUUUCCACUUUCUCAGCAUGCUCGAAUUGAUGAACACAACGAACAGUGCUAACACAAUACUAAAAAGGUUUUCUUUAUGGAAGACAACUUUCUAUGACCAUUUUUCCACGACACGCUCUGAUAAUCUAAUUUCCUCAUCCUUGGAAAUAUGUGGAUCUAGCUUCUGAAGGUUGUCAAUAAAUGUCUUUGCCUCAUCACGCUGAUUGAGUUUACAAUAUCCAUCAACUAUGGAAUUGUAUGUAUUCUGGUUUGGUUUACAGCCGUGCUUGAUCAUGAAUUGGACAACAUCUAUGGCUUCCUCAAACAAGGAAUCAGCUGCAUAGCUUGCAACAAAGGUAUUGUAAGUGAUAACAUCUGGAACAAGGCCAGAAUCACCCAUUUCUGAAAAUAUCCGAGAAGCCUCUUUCAUUCGACCGUUUCUACAAUAGGCAUAAAUAACAGUGUUAUACGAGAUUAUAUCUGGUUUUAUUCCUUUUGCCUGAACUUCCCUUAAAAUUUGUUCUGAUUCCUCGAACUUUUCAGAGCGGCUAUACAUAUACAUCAAACUGUUGUAGGUCGUCAAGCUCGGAGUAUACCCACACUCAUUCAUGAAGUUCAAGAUCUCAUUUGUCUUGGAAACCAUCUGCCUCCUGCCAUAUAUUGAGAGCAUGGCAUUUAGAGUAGUUAUGUCAGGUGGAAAUCCUUUCUUCCUCAAUUCCAAGAAAGCACGCUCUGUAUCCGCAAGAAGGUCGCAUUUACUAUUAACCAAAACAAGAGUCUUUAACAGCACAGCAUGAGGUUCGAUGAUACCGGAGUAUAUCUCUUCCGCUAGGGCAUGCAUCCGAUCUACCUGCUUCCCAUUGGCAUAAACAUGAAGCAAAGAACAGUAGGUUAGCUCAUUGGGUUUGCAACGACCGUCUCUCAUUUCAGCCAGUAUUUUCUCAGACUGCUUCCAAAGCCCUCCCCGUGCCAAUGCCGCCAAAACAGCAUUAUAUGUAGAAAGGUCGGGGGUAACUCCAGCUUCCAGCAUUCUCUUAUAAAUAGCCAUGGCUUGAUCAAAAGCACCACAGCGACUGUAUGCACUAAUUAAAGUGUUGAAUGUGUCCCUUUCAGGUACAAACCCUGCCCUCUUCAUCUCCUUGAACACUCCAGACACUUCUACAUCCAUUCCAUUUUGCCCAAAUACUGCCAGUAGUGUAUUCCAAGUAACAAUAUCCGGUGCACCAUUGCAUGCCUUGAUCUCGUCAAAAAUCUUCAUCAUCUCAGUGAACUUCCCGCGGUUACCGUGCAUCUUAAUUAGAGCAUUGAAAGUGCAAAUAUUCGGCUUGCAACCAGAAGUUCUCAUCUCCUCAAAAACCGCCAUUGCAGACUCAUCUUUUCCGGCCUUGGCAAAUCCCGACAAAAGAGUGGUAUAGGUAAAAACAUCAGGCUUAAUCCCUUUUCCCUCCAUCUGUGUUUUCAAGUCCAUUGCUUCCUGCAACAGACCAUCCCUAGCAUAAGCGGAAAUCAACGAAUUAUAAGUCACAGUGCUAGGGGCAAACCCAUUAAGCUCCAUCUCUUUUAAAACCUCCAUAGCUUCCUUCGGACGCCGAGACUUACCAUAAACAUCCAACAAUGCAUUGUAAGUAACAUUAUCUGGAGUAAAACCAGCCAAUUUCAUUUCAUCGAAAACCGAAGCCGCUUCCUCAUGCAAAGACCCUCGACGACAGCUACUUAUAAGCGUAUUAUAAGUAUAAGCAUCAGGGGCAAUUCCAUCACUUUUCAUUCCAUCAAAAAGAGCCAUGACCUUACUCCAAGGCAUGCCCAUUUUACCAUACACAUUCAAAACCACAUUAUAAGUUAUCAAAGUAGGUUUACAACCCUCUUCCUCCAUUUUCUUAAAAACCACCAUGGCUUCCCUAUACCUCCCACUACCAGCAUAAGCAGUUAUCAAUGAAGUAUAAGCAUAAACAUCAAGACUAAACCCUUCUUUGUGCAAACCAUUAAACAAAUUAGCUGCAACAGAAACCCUCCCCUCUUUCCCUAACAUACUAAUAAUAAUAGCAACAACAGAGCUAUUCAACACCAAUCCACAAUCAUUUCUAGCUCUAACCCAAUUGAAAACACCCAAAGCCAAGUUAGAUUUCUUGUAAAAACCCAAAGCUUUAACAAUUCCCACCACUUCCGCAGCCAAAAAAUCAGCUUUCACAUCUGGGUUUUCUUGGUAUUGCUCAAACAACUUACUCAAAACAACAUCAAGUUGAUUAGAAUCAAAAGAAGGUUCAAUUAAGGAAUUAAGAACCUGCUGACCUUGAGCAGAGAGGUUGUUAUGAGUCCAACGCUUCCCACGGUUGACGUCACGUGACCGGCCGAGACGGUUCCGGGUCCGGACUUGUGGGUCGAUGGGUUGUUGGGACUUAGAAUUAUGUCGAAGAAGGAGGUCUUGAAAGACUGGAGUCGAGGGAGCAGGUGAAUUGGGUUGUGAAGUUGGGUUUUGUUGAGUGAAGUGAGUUUGGUUUGAUAAUGGGGUUUUAACAGGUGGGGGAUUUGGAAGGAGAAGAGGGAGAGCAAGCCUCUCUGCCAUUAAAGAGAGGAUAAGAAAGUUGCAGCCUUUGUAUCUAUGGUUGAGUUAGAAACAGAGAGGGAGAAAAAGAAAAGGGUAAUUGAUAAUUUUAGUGCGCUUUCGUUAUUACUUGCAGAGUCCACAACUUUUUUUUUUAGAAGUCUAAGGCUUAAAGGGGGACAUGACAAAGAUAUGCGGAGGAUAUUUUAGGAGGUAAAAGGGAGAUUAUAUUCUUCUGUGGUUAAGAAUGAACUAUUGAAAUACUAUGACCAAUAAAAGGUUGCCACGUAAACUCUGAAAGCGGACUCUUAAGUCAAAAUUGGUGACGUUUGCCCUCUUCAAAAUUAGUUCGAUUAGACAAAUUAUACUUAUUUAAACAUUUUCUCUUUUAUUUUUAUAUAAAAAUUAAUUUAAAGUGAAGCUUAAUAUUAUUAUAUUAAUAAUAUUUUUUAUUUUAAAAAAUAUUUAAAAUUAAUAAAAUAUUUAUAAUUUUCAAUAUUAUUAAUCAUACUUAUUUAAUUAUCUAUUUCUAAUCAUAUUAAUAACUUAUUAUUUUAAUAAUUUAUUUAAUAAUUUAAUUUUAUUUUAAAAAUAAAUUUGAAAAAUAAUAAUUUUAAAUAAUAUUCUUCAUAUAGUAUUGAAAAAUAUUCAAUGUUAAUAUUUUAAUAAUAAAUAUUUAUUACAAUUAUAAAUAUAUUACAGAUAAAUAUUUUGUAGUAUAAAUGUUAAAAUAUGUCAUAAAUAUAUAUACUCCUCACAAAUUUGAAAUUUAGUCCCUAUUCUUUUAUUUUCAAGAAUUUAAUCAUUCUACUGUUCAUAUUUAAAAAUCAAGUCCAAUUGUUAACAUUGUUAAAUUUUUUUUGUCAAUUUUGUUGAUGUCAAUUUUUAAAUAAAAAAUACUUGAUAUUCAUGUAACUAAAAGAUGACGUUACAAUUAACAUGAAUUUAACAAAAUAUUUUUAAUAAUGCUAUCAGAUGAACCUUAAUUUUGAUAUAUAAAAGGUAGGACUAACCCAAAAAUAAAAGCACAUGGACUAAAUUUCAAAUUUACGAAAAGUACAAUGACUUAUGACAUAUUUUAACCUAGUAUAAAAAUAUGAAUAUUUUAAUUAUAUAAAUUUGAAUAUUUGUUUAAGUAAUGUUUAGCUUCAUUUAUCCUUUACAACUCUAAUGUGUCAAUAUCUAUUCUCACAUAUCUAAUAUAUAUAAUUAAAAUUAAGUUUUAAUUAAGCAUUAUUUAUUAUUAAGUUUAUAUAUGACACUGAUUAUUACAAAAUAUUUUCUUAUUAUAAAAUAAAUUUCAAUUGUUAAAAGGAAAUUGCACUGUAAUAUUUUAUAACAAAUAUAUUUAUGUCAUGUUUGUUUUACAAAGAACAAUGUAAAAUAUAAAUUUAUAGAUAUAAAAUAAACUCAAUUAAACAAUGAAAAUAUAAGAAAAUCUCAUAUGUAUGUUUGUUUCAUUGAAAACAACUUUUAUGAAAUAUUUAUAGUAAAUCUGUCAAAUAACAGAAAAUAUUAAUUUUUCAAAAAAGUAAGUCAUUUUCCAGAAAUCAUUUUUCGGAAGUCAUUUUCAGUGAAACAAAUGGAACCUAAACUUGAAAAUCGUAAGUUAACUUGAUAUUUUUUUAGGCACCUAAUACUAUUAAAAUAUACUGACAUAACACUGACGAUCAAUUGGAUGGUGACACGUGAUAACCUCACAUUUUUUAUUAUAAAUAUUAUAUUUUUUUAUUUUGCCACGUGUCAAAAUAUAAGGCUAUCACGUGUCACCAUUCUAUUAGUAGUCAACGUCACAUCAGCGUAUUUUAAUGAUGUUAGUCAAGUAGCUAAAAAAACACAAAGUUGACUUAUAAUUUUUAAGUUUAGGUACCAGUCAGGGCCAAAAUUAAACUAUGUAAUUGAUAUUUAUGUCAUUAUUGUUGUUUAUUUGUGUAACUAAGAAUUGAUGACUUUAUUGUUUCAACCACUAAUUCGGUUUCCAAAAAACAUUGAUUCAAAGGAAACUAACCUAAACCGAACUAUAUAAUUGAUGUUUAUGCCAUUAUUAUAUAUGUGUUUAUAAUAACUAGAAUCGAUAACUUAACCGUUUCAACCACCUCUUCCAACUUCUAAAAAAAACAUUGGUAAAUGGAAGUUAGAUUAUUUUCAAAUCUUCAAGCUUUAUAAGUUAUUGAAUCGAGUGAUAAAAUACUUAUUAAUUCAUAAAAAGUUGAUGAAUCGUUUGAAAAGAAAGAAAAAGAAAAAGAAAAACCAAUGCUAAAAAAUGCUUGUUUCUUAUUUAGAAGUCCAAUUCAACUCAAGUUGUGUUUAGUAUUACUUUUAAGAAGUAUUUUUGAGAAAAAAAUACUUUUGAGAUAAAAACAUUAUUAAAUAAAAUGCUAAAUUGACCCGCAAUCGAUACCUGUGGGNNNNNNNNNNNNNNNNNNNNNNNNNNNNNNNNNNNNNNNNNNNNNNNNNNNNNNNNNNNNNNNNNNNNNNNNNNNNNNNNNNNNNNNNNNNNNNNNNNNNNNNNNNNNNNNNNNNNNNNNNNNNNNNNNNNNNNNNNNNNNNNNNNNNNNNNNNNNNNNNNNNNNNNNNNNNNNNNNNNNNNNNNNNNNNNNNNNNNNNNNNNNNNNNNNNNNNNNNNNNNNNNNNNNNNNNNNNNNNNNNNNNNNNNNNNNNNNNNNNNNNNNNNNNNNNNNNNNNNNNNNNNNNNNNNNNNNNNNNNNNNNNNNNNNNNNNNNNNNNNNNNNNNNNNNNNNNNNNNNNNNNNNNNNNNNNNNNNNNNNNNNNNNNNNNNNNNNNNNNNNNNNNNNNNNNNNNNNNNNNNNNNNNNNNNNNNNNNNNNNNNNNNNNNNNNNNNNNNNNNNNNNNNNNNNNNNNNNNNNNNNNNNNNNNNNNNNNNNNNNNNNNNNNNNNNNNNNNNNNNAAUAUAUCUUAAAUUUUAUUUUAUUGUAAUUUUAUAUGAAUUGAUUAUAAUUUUAAUUGACCGAAUAUAUAUCCUUUAUUAUUUAUAUUAUAUUUGUACUUGUAAUUUUUUUAAAAAUUUAAAUUAAACAUGCCCUUUUUUUAAAAAUGUAAAUAUAAAUAUUUGUUUAUAUUAUAAUGUGUUUAUAAUAAGAGUCAGAUUAUAUAUAUAUAUAUUUGUAAUAGAGUCAGAUUAUAUUUUACAUCUUCUGUUCGAAAAAAUUGGAAAAUUAAUCAACAGAUAAAAAUUAAAUCUAUUCUUAUUAUUAAAAAUUAUUUAAUUUCUGAAAAAAUUCUUAUAGGUAACCUUUUAGAUCUUUUUUAGCUGUGUUUAUUAAAAAAAAUAAAAAAAUAUAAAAGUAGUUUUUUUAGAGUAAAUGUAAAACUUUAAAAUAAUUGUAAUAUGUAAAAUUAAAAAUAUUAAACUAUUUACAACCGUCGGAUUAAAAAUGAUAUAUUUUUGAAUGAUGAUGAAGAUCGAUUCCUGAUGUAUAUAAAUACUGCCUUCUAUUCCCUUCAGUCUUCGCUUCACCCACUUUCUCAUUUCACACGGGUUGUGGCGUAGUUUAAGCAGAGAGGGUGCGCAGGAUAAAGCUAUUCACCAUUGUUUCAACAUGAAGGUUUGUAAUAAAAAUUUGUUUCUAUCAGCAUUGCUUUGCAUUGCUGUUGCAGGAGUUUUGGGUCAAGCUCCUAGUAAUCCUCCUACGUCUACGCCGGCGCCACCCACACCACCGGCUUCUACUCCUCCUCCGACGACUCAAGCACCGCCUACACCAACCGCCACUCCGCCACCGGUUUCUACUCCUCCUCCCACUUCAUCACCGCCCCCAGUGACAGCUUCUCCACCCCCAGUUUCAACUCCUCCACCCAGUUCUCCUCCUCCUGCAACUCCACCACCUGCUUCUCCUCCUCCUGCAACUCCACCUCCAGCUUCUCCACCUCCUGCCACUCCUCCACCAGCUUCUCCACCUCCCGCCACUCCACCACCUGCAACCCCACCGCCAGCAACUCCUCCUCCUGCUACCCCACCACCAGCUCCAUUGGCUUCUCCUCCAGCCACAGUCCCAGCUAUCUCUCCAGUACAAACACCAUUGACAUCGCCACCAGCUCCGCCGACCGAGGCCCCAGCACCUACCCUCGGGGCUGCUACGCCAGGUCCAGCUGGAACUGACACGGUACAUUUUCUCUUAUUCCACCAUUUUAUAUCCUUCUUCUCCACCUACGAUCAAGCUUUAUUAUCGGUUGAAAUUUAAGCCUUUACAGCAAGACUUAAAAUAUAAUUUUAUUAAUGGUUUUAUAAUAUUAAAUUAUAAUUUUAUCAUUCUUACACAUUAAUAUAUAAUGUGAUAAAAUUUUUUACUUUGGGUACCGUGCCAACUUCCUAACGUCGCCCUUAAUCUUACAUAAACAACGAUCUGAGCUUGUCUCGAUAUUAGCUAACCCUUAAGCCAUUAGAGAUGGCUAUUGGUUCCGUCUCGACAUACCUUCAACAUAAUCUGAUUUAAAAUUAAAUACUUAUAUCUAUUUUUUAACACAAUAUUUAAAAUUAUCUAUAAUUUCUUCUCAACUUAUAAUUAAAAUAACAAUACUUCAGCGUAUUCAAAUUUACGUACCUAUGUUAAUCUAAUUUGACAAUAAUAUUUAUGUUAAUUGAAUUAAAGCUUGAGAUAUUAAAUUUAAUUAAGA
rnacentral:lncRNA from 1 species